rnacentral:tRNA from 1 species
GGUAUGUGGCUCAAGUGGUAGCCUGCUUGCCUAGCAUGUAUGAGGCACUGGGUUCAAUUCUCAGCACCA